GACACGCUGGCGGCGUGCCUAAUACAUGCAAGUUGAACGCAACAAAGACACCAGAGCUUGCUCUACCGUCUUUGUUGAGUAGCGAACGGGUGAGUAACGCGUGGGUAACCUGCCUUAUAGCGGGGGAUAACUAUUGGAAACGAUAGCUAAUACCGCAUAACAAUAGAGAUUGCAUAAUCUUUAUUUGAAAGUGCCAACUGGUACACUAUGAGAUGGGCCCGCGUCCUAUCAGCUAGUUGGUGAGGUAAAAGCUCACCAAGGCGACGACGGGUAGCCGGCCUGAGAGGGUGACCGGCCACACUGGAACUGAGACACGGUCCAGACUCCUACGGGGGGCAGCAGUGGGGAAUCUUCCACAAUGGGCGAAAGCCUGAUGGAGCGACGCCGCGUGAGCGAAGAAGGCCUUCGGGUUGUAAAGCUCUGUCUGGAGGGACGAAGGAAGUGACGGUACCUCCGGAGGAAGCCACGGCUAACUACGUG
rnacentral:rRNA from 1 species